AUGGUGUCCACAGAAUCGCAUCCUCCAACCAAUAGUCCAAUACACAACAUGCAAACACUAGGCAGCAAAAUGCCAUCUUCCUCGACACCAUUGUUGUACCUCUGCCUGUGGCUGGUGGUGUGCCUUCUUCUCUUGCAAGAAGCACACGCGGCUCACCAUGGAGGGAUCUCACUGAGGUCGCAACACAUGGCCCUCCUCCACUGGAAAGCUACACUUGCGAGCCCACCACCGCAGAUGAGCUCUUGGCAGGAAAACACCAGCCCGUGCAACUGGACGGGCAUCAUGUGCACGGCUGUUCGCCAUGGCCGCCGCAUGCCCUGGGUGGUGACCAACAUUUCCCUGCCGGAUGCUGGCAUCCAUGGCCAGCUUGGUGAGCUCAACUUCUCGGCUCUUCCAUUCCUUGAAUAUAUUGACCUCAGUAACAACAGUCUCCAUGGUGCACUACCUGCUAGUAUUAGCUCCCUGUCAGCACUUUCGGUACUUGGCCUUCGGCAGAACCAGCACACAGGGAAAAUCCCACAUGAGAUUGGAGACCUGCAAAGUCUCAGGGUGCUUGAACUCUCAUUUAACAGAUUCACAGGACAGAUCCCUGCAUCUCUAGGCAACCUAACAAUGUUAACUAAUCUCAUCAUUGACCAAACCAUGGUAUCAGGUCCCAUUCCUGAGGAGAUUGGAAGGCUUGUCAACCUACAAAUCCUACAGCUAACCAACAGCACCUUAAGCGGUCUGAUACCAAAAACCCUUGGAAAUCUGACCCAACUAAAUACUUUGUACCUGUUCUAUAAUCAACUUUCAGGGCCUAUACCGAAAGAACUAGGCAGGUUAAUCCAUUUGCAAAGUCUUGAGCUUAGUUUAAAUGAUUUUUCAGGUCCAAUUCCUAUAACCAUAACCAAUCUGACUAAGUUGAACCAACUUUUCCUCUCUGAAAAUCAAAUCACAGGUUCCAUCCCCCCGAAAAUAGGAAAUCUCAAUAUGUUAAACAAUCUUGAUCUAAUGAAAAAUCAAAUAACAGGUUCAAUACCCCGAGAACUUAGCAACCUCACUAUGUUAAAUGAACUUUAUCUCUACAAAAAUCAAAUCACUGGUUCAAUACCUAUAGAACUGGGCAUCUUGCCAAAUCUACAAGAAUUAGACUUUUCGUACAACCAAAUAUCUGGCUUUAUUCCUGGCAGCUUAGGAAAUAUAACCAAGCUGGUAGUACUUUCCCUUGAUGUAAAUCAGAUAACCGGUUCCAUUCCCCAAGAGAUUGGCAAUCUGAUGAACCUCGAACUAUUAGGCUUGUAUCAGAACCAUAUUUCAGGAUCAAUACCAAAAACCUUUGGGAAGUUGCAAAGCAUCCAAGAACUACAAAUCUAUGAUAACAAAUUAUCAGGUUCUCUUCCUCGAGAAUUCGGAGAUCUAGUAAACCUUGUUCGACUUGGGCUAUCUAGAAACUCACUUUCAGGACCUUUACCCGCAAAUAUAUGUUCAGGUGGUAGACUAGAACAAAUAGUUGUCUUCUCUAAUAUGUUCAAUGGCCCUAUUCCAAGUAGUUUAAAGAAAUGUACAAGUUUGGUUCGAAUUGACCUUCAGUCGAACCAACUAACAGGAGAUAUAUCUCAGCAUUUUGGUGUCUAUCCACAACUCACAAGGAUGGCCUUGUCAUCAAAUAGACUCUCGGGGCAGAUCUCCCAAAAUCUAGGUGCAUGUAGCCAACUGAUGGUACUACGUCUAGCACAAAAUAUGAUCACGGGUUUCAUACCUCCUAUCCUUUCUAAAUUAUCCAAGCUGGAAGAACUAAGACUUGAUUAUAAUCAUCUCAGAGGUGAGAUUCCACCAGAAAUUUGCAGUUUAACAAAUCUCUAUAGACUAAACUUAUCAUCGAACCAAUUAUCUGGAUCCAUACCUACACAGAUAGAAAAGCUAGGAAAUCUAGGAUACCUUGAUAUAUCUGGGAAUAGACUGAGUGGAUUAAUACCUGAGGAACUAGCGACCUGCAUCAUACUAUUGUCCUUGAAGAUCAACAACAAUAACUUCAGUGGGAGUUUGCCUGGUGCAAUUGGAAAUUUGAUAGGCCUGCAGAUCACGUUAGACGUGAGCAACAAUAACCUAAGUGGUGUGUUGCCGCAACAACUUGGGAAGUUGCAGAUGCUAGAAUUUCUGAAUCUAUCACAUAAUCAGUUCAGUGGCACCAUUCCAUCCUCCUUUGCAAGCAUGGUGAGCCUUUCAACGCUUGAUGUGUCAUACAAUGACUUGGAAGGACCAGUCCCAACAGUCAGGCAACUCCAAAAUGCUUCAGCAAAUUGGUUUCUUCCCAAUAAAGGUCUGUGUGGUAACCUCUCUGGCCUACAACUUUGCGAUUCAACUCCAGUUGCAGCCGGUCACCACAAACGGAAGAUACUUGGUUUGCUUUUGCCAAUUGUUCUGGUGGUGGGUUUUGGCAUUCUUUCUGCAACUGUUGUCAUAAUAAUGCUUAGUCGUAGCAAGACAAAACCACAAGAAGUUGUUACUGCUGAAGGAAGGGACCUAUUCUCUGUUUGGAAUUUCGACGGAAGAUUAGCAUUUGAUGAUAUCGUAAGGGCAACAGAAGACUUUGAUGAUAAGUACAUCAUUGGAACAGGAGGAUACGGCAAUGUCUACAAGGCACAACUCCAAGACAGGCAGCUAGUUGCUGUGAAGAAGCUUCAUCAGACAGAAGAAGAGUUGGACGACGAAAGAAGGUUUCGCAGUGAAAUGGAAAUCUUGUUACAGAUCCGCCAACGGAGCAUUGUCAAAAUGUAUGGAUUCUGCUCCCAUUCAGCGUAUAAAUUUCUUGUCUACGACUACAUUCAGCAGGGAAGCCUCCACCGGAUGUUGGAAAAUGAGGAGACAGCAAGGGAAUUGGAUUGGCAAAAGAGAAUUGUUGUUGUAAAUGAUGUGGCUCAAGCAAUAUCUUAUUUGCACCACGAAUGCAGUCCACCUAUAAUCCAUCGAGAUAUAACGAGCAACAACAUCUUACUUGAUGCAACCUUCAAGGCUUUCGUCUCGGAUUUCGGCACAGCAAGAAUUCUUAAGCCUGAUUCAUCAAACUGGAGUGCACUAGCAGGGACGUAUGGGUACAUAGCUCCUGAACUCUCGUACACAUCUGUUGUCACGGAGAAAUGUGAUGUCUAUAGCUUUGGUGUGGUUGUGCUAGAGCUACUUAUGGGGAAGCAUCCAAGGGAUCUAUUAGACGGUAGUUUGUCAAACAGGGAACAAGCUAUGCUGGUGAAAGAUAUUCUGGACCAGCGACCGACAACACCAACAACAAUAGAAGAGAAUAGCUUAGCUCUGCUCAUCAAGCUGGCCUUCUCUUGCUUGGAAUCUUCUCCACAAGCAAGGCCAACCAUGAGGCAGGCAUACCAGACACUCAUCCAGAAGACCCUCUUGUAG
rnacentral:rRNA from 1 species